rnacentral:lncRNA from 1 species
UCUCACAAACUCUUCUCUUGCAUUUACUUUUGUUGUCAGUUGCCUCUCGUUUUCCUCUCCGCCACGUCACAUUUGCCGUUUUCAUUUGCCUUUUUCCGUUCGCCCUUCUUCCGCUCGCUUUCUGUUUGCUUGUGUUACCAUGUGCCUUCUUUUAGCUUGCAUCUUUGCUUGCUAAAAAUCCAUUGAUAUGGAUCCUCACCCACUUGCUAGUCUCUUUAAGAGACCCACUCGUGUGGAACAAAUUGCUAGUGAGUUGAGGGCAAUUGACUAUUUCUUUGGAGUUUUGCGUAAGAUGCGUGAAUCUGAAAAUUGCGAGGAAGAAAUUCAUGAAGUGAUUCACGAGGGCUCCUUGAAUGAAAAGCAUGACUGCAAUGGUUUCACUAUAAAUCCUAUUAGUGACAAUCAUGCUAAAAAUAUGCAAAACCCUAAGCUUGGGGAUGCUAGCUUUGCUAUAUCCACUACUUGUUGCAAUAAUCAUGAUUGGGGUGAUGAUCUUUCUUAUGAUCUUGAAAAUUUGUUCAAACCUCAUGAUGAAUAUGAUAUUUGCAACAAUAUUGAAAGUGGGAUUGGAGAAGUCAUGACUUUAUUUGAUGAUAAUCCCACUAUUUUUGAAGAGCGUCAACUUCGCAUGCAUGUGGAUCAUGGAAAGAAUAUCCUAUGGGAUAGCUAUAUUGUUGAAUUUGAAUAUGAUCCCACAUGUAAUUGCUAUGAGAGAGGAAAAUAUUUUGGUAGAAACUUUCAUGGUACCAAAUUACCUCUCGUUAUGUUGAGAUUGCUCUUGUCUCUUUCUUCUUCCUUGCAUAUGGAAGCGAUUGGUUGUCUUGACAAUCUGUUUUUCUAUAAAAUGCCUAUGCAUAGGAAGUAUGUUAGACUUAGAUGUGAUUUUCACAUGAUUUAGGAUGCUCUCAUGUGCUUCAAUUCUUGUCUUUUGUGAGAGCAUCAUUGAAUACCUAGCUAAAGGGCGUUAAACAAAAGCGCUUGUUGGGAGGCAACCCAACGAAUCUAUCAUUUUUCUUUCUGUUUUGUGUUUUCCACACUUCCAUAAUUUUGUUAUGAUUGUGUUUUUGUGUUUCUUUUUUGCGUUUGUGCCAAGCAAAACCGUUAUGAUUAGUCUUGGGGAUGGUCGUUUGGUCAUGCUGGAAAAGACACAAACUUUCUGCUCACGAAAAGAACUUUCGUUUUUGUUCUGUAAGAGCUUCUGAGUUGAUUCUUUUUUCUGCUGAUUGCUACACAAAUUAUUCAGACAUUCGUAAUUUUUCAAAAAAUGUGAAGUAACAGAGGUAUACGAAAUAUACAGAUUGCUACAGACUGGUCUGUUGUUAACAGAUUCUGUUUUUGUUGUGUUGGUUGCUUAUUUUGAUGAAACUAUGGAUAGUAUCGGGGGGUAUUAGCCAUGGAAGAUUGAAAGUACAGUAAUCCAACAUCAGCAGGAGGAGAAUUUAAGUUUGCUACAGUACCUAAGGAAGUGGUGGUUUGCUUUCUUGUACUAAUGUUAUCACGAGUUUCUGUUUAAGUUUCGUGUUGUGAAGUUUUCAAGUUUUGGGUGAAGUUCUUAUGGACAAAGAGAUAAAGAGUGGCAAGAGCUCAAGCUUGGGGAUGCCCAAGUCACCCCAAGAUAUUCAAGGAUGCCGUAAAAGCCUAAGCUUGGGGAUGCCCCGGGAAGGCAUCCCCUCUCUCGUCUUCAAUCCAUCGGUAACAUUACUUGGGGCUAUAUUUUUAUUCACCACAUGUUAUGUGUUUUUGCUUGCAGCGUCUUGUAUCGUAGGAGUCUUUUAUUUUUGUUGUGUCAUAAUCAUCCUUGCUGCACACCAAGAUAGAGAGACAUGCACUCACAGUGAUUUUGUCGAGCUUCACUUAUAUCUUUUGGUAGACAAUUCAGCUCACAUGUGCUUCACUUAUAUCUUUUUGAGCUAGAUACUUUUGCUCUAUGUGCUUCACUUAUAUCUUUCAGAGCACAGCGGUGCGUGGAUUGGUAGUUGAUCUAUGCUUUGAAAGUAGUCUCAAAAGGGGUAGUUAUCCAAAGGGAUACGAAAACUUCCACCUUCAUGUGCAUUGAAUAGUUAGAGAAGUUUGAUUCAUCUCAAUUAGUUUUGAGUUGUGGUUAUGGUAAUAUUAAAGUCAUGCUAGUAAGGUGUUGUGGAUCUAGAAAUACUUGUGUUGAAGUUAGUGAUUCCAGUAGCAUGCACGUAUGGUGAACCGCUAUGUGAUAAAAUCUGAGCAUGAUUAGUCUAUAGAUUGUCAUCCUUUGCGUGGCGGUCGGGAUCGCGCGAUGGUUUAUACCUACCAACCCUUCCCCUAGCAGUAUGCGUUGAAUGGUUUGUUUCGAUUACUAAUAAAACUUUUGCAACAAGUAUAUGAGUUCUUCAUGACUAAUGUUGAGUCCAUGGUUUAGAUGCACUUUCACCUUCCACCACCACUAUCUUCUUAGUGUCGUGCAACUUUCGCCGGUGCACAAAACCCACCAUUAGCCUCCCACAAAACAGCCACCAUACCUACCUAUGGCUUUUUCAAAGUCAUUCCGAGAUAUAUUGCCAUGCAACUACCACCAUGACAUGUGCCACCACGUUUACACUGCCAUUGCAUGAUCCUAAGAUAGCUAGCAUGAUGUUUCCAUUGAUGUUUAUGCCAUGCUAGAUCAUUGCCACGGUACACUACCGAAGGCAUUCCAUAUAGAGUCAUCAUUACUCUAAGUUUUGAGUUGAAAGUGUGAUGAUCAUCAUUAAUGGAUCAUUGUCCCAUGUGAGGAAAUAAAAGAGGCCAAAAAAGUCCACACAGAAAAAGAGGCCAAAUAGCCCACCAAAUAAAAAAAAUAGAAAAACAGAGAAGGGACAAUGCUACCACUUUUUCCACACUUGUGCAUAUUAAGCACAAUGAUCUUCAUGAUUGAGAGUCUCUCGUUUUGUCACCACCAUAGAGCUAGUGGGAAUUUUUCAUUAUAUAAGUUGGCUUGUAUAUUCCAAUGAUAUGCUUCCUCAAAAUUGCCUCAGGUCUUCGUGAGCAAGCAAGUUGGAUGCACACCCACUAGUUUUCUUUAAGAGCCUUCACAUACUCUUAGCUCUAGUGCAUCAUUUAUAUGGCAAUCCCUACUCAUUCACAUUGAUAUCUAUUGAUGAGCAUCUCCAUAGCUCAUUGAUGUGCCUAGUUAAUGUGACCAUCUUCUCCUUGUUUGUCUUGCAACCUCCACCACACUCCAUUCCACUUAUAGUGCUAAAACCAUGGCUCACGCUCAUGUAUUGCGUGAGAGUUGAAAAGGUUUGAGAAAGUAAAAGUGUGAAAACAAUUACUUGGCCAAUACCGAGGUUGUGCAUGAUUUAAAUUCGUUGUGCAAGCAUGAUAGAGCAUAGCCAGACUAUAUGAUUUUGUAGGGAUAACUUUCUUUUGGCCUUGUUAUUUUGAAAGUUCAUGAUUACCUUGCUAGUUUGCUUGAAGUACUAUUGUCUCCACACCAAUAGCAAACUAUUGUUUUGAAUCUAAUGGAUCUGAACAUUCAUGUCACACAAGAGGAGUUACAAUGGACAUCUAUGCUAGGUAGCAUGAAAGCAUCAAAAAAUCAUUCUUUAUCACUUCCCUACACGAGGACGAGCAGGAGUUAAGCUUGGGGAUGCUUGAUACGUCUCAAACGUAUCUAUAAUUUUUGAUGGUUUCACGUUGUUACCUUGUCUUCUUUGGUUGUUUUAUGUAUCUUUUUAUAUCUUUUUGGGACUAACUUAUUAAUUCAGUGCCAAGUGCUAGUUCCUGUUUUUUCGUGUUUUUGACUCUUUACAGAUCUGAUUUUGGAACGGAGUCCAAACGGAAGACAAACCCCGAAAUGAUUUUUUCCCGAAUGGAAGAAGACCAGGGGGAUUUUGAGCCAAGCCAGGUGGGCUCCAGGGAGCCCACAAGCCACCACUCCGCCACCAGGGGGAGGCGGCGGUGGGCAGGCUUGUGGAUUCCCUGGCCGCCCCCUGACCUAGGUCUUUGGCCUAUAAAUUCCCCAAUAUUCCGCAAAAAAUCAGGGGAGCCUCGAAAAUACUUUUCCGGCGCCGCAAGCUUCUGUUUCCGCGAGAUCUCAUCUGGAGACCCUUCCCGGCACCCUGCCGGAGGGGACUUUGGAGUUGGAUGGCUUCUUCAUCAUCAUCAUCGCCCCUCCAAUGACUCGUGAGUAGUUCACUUCAGACCUACAGGUCCGUAGUUAGUAGCUAGAUGGCUUCUUCUCUCUCUUGGAUCUACAAUACAAAGUUCUCCAUGAUCUUCAUGGAGAUCUAUCUGAUGUAAUCUUCUUUGGCGGUGUGUUUGUCGAGAUCUAAUGAAUUGUGGAUUUGUGAUCAUAUUAUCUAUGAUAUAUAUUUGAGUCUUUGCUGAUUUCUUAUAUUCAUGAUUUGAUAUCCUUGUAAGUUUCUCCGAGUGUUUGGUUUUGUUUGGCCAACUAGAUCUAUGAUUCUUGCAAUGGGAGAAGUGCUUGGUUUUGGGUUCUACCAUGUGGUGACCUUUCCUAGUGACACUAGGGGCAGCAAGCCACACAUCAAGUAGUUGCCAUCAAGGGUAAAAAUAUGGGGGUUUUAUCAUUGGUUUGAGAUUAUCCCUCUACAUCAUGUCAUCUUGCUUAAGGCGUUACUCUGUUCUUAUGGACUUAAUACACUAGAUGCAUGCUGGAUAGCCGUCGACGUGUGGAAUAAUAGUAGUAGAUGCAGAAAGUAUCGGUCUACUUGUUUCGGACGUGAUGCCUAUAGAAACAAUCAUUGCAUAGAUAUCGUCACGAAUUUGUGCGGUUCUAUCAAUUGCUCGACAGUAAUUUGUUCACCCACCGUCUACUUGCUUUCAUAAAAGAAGCCACUAGUAAACACUACGCCCCCCGGUCUAUUCACAUCCAUCGUUUACAUCUCUGCUUUUACUUUGCUUUGUUACUUUGUUGCUUUCAGUUCUCACUUGGCAAACAAUCUAUAAGGGAUUGACAACCCCUUCAUAGCGUUGGGAGCAAGUUUUUGUGUUUGUGCAGGAUCUUGAGAUACUCCUCCACUGGAUUGAUACCUUGGUUCUCAAACUGAGGGAAGUACUUACCACCGCUACGCUAAAUCACCCUUUCCGCUUCGAGGGAACACCAAGGCAAGGCUCCAAGGCCCACGGGGGAAAUCCUUUGCAUACUUGCCUAGGAAGUCCCUUAAGGCGUAGCCGCAGCUGAAGGAUUCCUGGUGCCGUUGCUGAGGAGUAUCAAGCAACACUCCUAUUUCUGGCGCCGUUGGAAGGUCUUUUGUUGCAGUAGCAGGGGUCCUUUGGGGAACCCUCUCAAAGGCCUCGGAGUCCUCAUUGGAUUUCGAGCUGUCGUCGGGAAGGACCACAUUGCCCGUGCAGGGUUUCUUCGGGGCCUGGGGAGGCAAGCCCUCCUUGGCAUCCUUCGGCGCCGCACUCUUCCUUUUUGGAUGGAAUCUUUUCUGCCUCCAUCCUCUUCCUCUUCCACCUUGUAGGCGGAGGAGGCAUGGGCUUCGCCAGACUUAGUUUUCGGAGGACCCCUUGAGCGGAGACCCCCGUGGGUCUCCUUCUUCUUUUUCUCCUUUUUAUUCGGCGUCGUGUAUGGCGCCACCACGAACAUCAUGGUCAGCAAUUGCGACAUGGGUUCCUCGAGCAGGGGGUCUGGGCCGUUUAUUUUCUUGGCCUUUUCCAGUCAGCCCUGCAGAGAUGGUGGAGGAAGAAAAUGAGAUCCCUGAUAAAGAUUAAAAGUUUUAAUAAAGAAUAAAAGGCUUGAUCAUACCUCCAAAGAAGGGUUAGCGGCAUCCAAGCCAACGUCUUCUUCCUCGGGUGGCCACUCUUGUUGAGGUCUGAAUAAAACCUUCCACAACUUCUCAAGGGUGAUGUGGUAGAACGGGUUCACGCUGCGAGGGUCGCCGAUCUUGUAGGACCACAUUGGAGUAUCACAACUCUGGCAGGGAAGGACGCGGCGAUGAAGCAUAACCUCAACCACGCCGGUCAGCUCUAAGUUCAUCUCCACCAUCUUCUUGAUGCACUUCUUAAGCGCCUUCACAUCCGAGGACGACCCCCAAUCGAGGCCCCUUUUCACCCACGAGGUUAGCCUCUCAGGGGGUCCAGAUCUAAACUCGGCAGGAGCCACCCACCUUCCUUCCCGAGGCUCGGUGAUGUAAAACCAUUCCUUCUGCCAUGCCUUCAUGGUGUCAAUAAAAAGUGCCCUCCGACCACUCAACUUGGGGAAGCUUGCUGAUUACAACUCUGCCACAGUCGGGGUGUUGGACGCUGACUAACUUUGGCUGGACGUUGAAGGUCUUGAGCCAUAAGCCUAAAUGCACAUGAUCUCACAGGAAGGCCUCGCAAACGAUGACGAAAGAAGAAAUGUGCAUGCAGGAGUUCGGGAGAAGAUCACAAAAAUCUAACCCGUAGUAGAACUACGGACCCGUGACGAAGGGGUGGAGUGGGAAGCUUAGUCCCCGUAUGAAGUCGGGGACGAACACCACUCUUUCUGUUGGGGAACGUCGCAUGGGAAACAAAAAUUUUCCUACGCGCACGAAGACCUAUCAUGGUGAUGUCCAUCUAUGAGAGGGGAUGAGUGAUCUACGUACCCUUGUAGAUNNNNNNNNNNNNNNNNNNNNNNNNNNNNNNNNNNNNNNNNNNNNNNNNNNNNNNNNNNNNNNNNNNNNNNNNNNNNNNNNNNNNNNNNNNNNNNNNNNNNUGUCUGUUGGGAUACGAUGAAUUGUGAGUUUAUGAUCAGAUCUAUCCUUGUUUUAUUUGAGUUCUUUGCUGAUCUAUUUUAUGCAUGAUUUAGUAUAGCCUUAUAUUUCUUCUCCGGAGUUUUGGUUUGGUUUUGCCAACUAGAUUAGAUCUUCUUGCAAUGGGAAGAGGUGCUCGAUAGUGGGUUCGAUCUUGUGGUGUUCAGUCCUAGUGACAGAAGGGGAGUUGAUACGCAUGUGUUGUUGACAUUAAGGAUAACAAGUUGGGAUGAAAUCUUAUAUGCUUUUGUAUUGACUACAUCACGUCAUCGUUCUUAAUGCAUUACUUCGUUCCUAUGAACUUAAUACACUAGAUGCAUGCUGGAUAUCAGUCUAUGUGUGAAGUAAUAGUAGUAGAUGCAGGCAGGAGUCGGUCUACUUGAUUUGAAUGUGAUGCCUAUAUCAUGAUAAUUUCCUUGGAUAGCGUCAUAAUUAUUUGCUUUUCUAUCAAUCUCCCAACAAUAAUUUUUUACCCACUGUAUGCUAUUUUCUUGAGAGAGAUGCCACUAGUGAAUCCUACGGCCUCCGCGUCUACUUUUAUUAUAAAGAUAAANNNNNNNNNNNNNNNNNNNNNNNNNNNNNNNNNNNNNNNNNNNNNNNNNNNNNNNNNNNNNNNNNNNNNNNNNNNNNNNNNNNNNNNNNNNNNNNNNNNNGCUUGAGGACAAGCAAGGUUUUAAGCUUGGGGGAGUUGAUAUGUCUCCAUCGUAUCUACUUUUCCAAACUCUUUUGCCCUUGUUUUGAGCUCUAAUAUGCAUGAUUUGAAUGGAACUAACCUGGACUGAUGCUGUUUUCACCAGAAUUGCCAUGGUGUUGUUUUUGUGCAGAAAUGAAAGUUCUCGAAACGUCCUGCAAAUUUACGGACAAUAUUUCUGGAAAAUAUGAAAAAUACCUGCGCAAAGAUCCACCGGAGGGGAUGGGCCAGUGGGCNNNNNNNNNNNNNNNNNNNNNNNNNNNNGGCGGCUACUAAGCUUGUGGGGCCCACGCGGCUCUGCCGCCCCCAAACUCAGCUCUAUAAAUUCACUUUCGUCCCAGAAAAAAAUCAAGAGAGAAGAUUUCGUCGCGUUUGCGAUACGGAGGCGCCGCCACAUCCUGUUCUUAUCUGGAGGGCAGAUCUAGAGUCCGUUUUGGGCUCCGGAGAGGGGAAAUCGUCGCCAUCGUCAUCAUCAACCUUCUUCCCUCUCCAAUUCCAUGAAGCUUUUCAUCGUUCGUGAGUAAUCUAUUCGUAGGCUCGUUGGGCGGUGAUGAGUAGGAUGAGAUCUAUCAUGUAAUCGAGUUAGUUUUGACGGGGAUUGAUCCCUAGUANNNNNNNNNNNNNNNNNNNNNNNNNNNNNNNNNNNNNNNNNNNNNNNNNNNNNNNNNNNNNNNNNNNNNNNNNNNNNNNNNNNNNNNNNNNNNNNNNNNNCCCCCCCCCCUGAUAUAACCCAUAGAAUCAUCAAAACAAGCAAACUACGCAAGCAAAAAUAAAAUUUGUCUAAAACAGAACAAAUUGUAAUGAUUAGUAGAAACAACCCAUUUCUGUAACACAAAGAAUUCUGAAAAAUUAGGAAGGCAUGAGGAAUUUGUAUAUACUGAGUAAAAAAUUAUAUCAAAAAGAUGUCCUGGUAAAAUCUCAGAAAUUCUGCACUGGAUGCUAAAGUUUUUGUUUUUGCACCGUAUCAAUUAUAUUUUUCAUACAAGACAUCCCAAAGGCUNCUUUACUUGGCACAAACACUAAUUUAAACACAAAAACACAAUAAUUUGAGUAGAAAGGUAAUUGAUAUUUUUGUAUUUAUGUAUUUGGAUAUAUCCGGGGGCAUAGUUUUCCCUAAUUGCAUCGGUGGGUAAACAAAUUAUUGUUGGGAAAUUGAAAGAAAAUCGCAUAGUUAUGCAAUUUAUGUUCAUGGAAAUGAUCAUUACAUAUAGGCAUAACGUUUGUAAUCAAGUAUACUGACUCCUGCAUGCAUCUACUACUAUUAUUCCACCCAUCAACCGCUAUCCCGCAUCCAUCUAGAGUAUUAAGUAAAAAAGAGUAAUACUUGGAGAAAUUUGACAUGAUGUAGACAAAGAGAACUCAAUUAAUAUGAAUUAAGCCCGUAGUUUUACUAUUAGUGGCAACAAUACAAAGAUGUGUCUUGUCCCUUUCUGUCACUCGGAUAUAAAGCACAGCCAGAUUGAACCCACUACAAUGUGUUGGGUAACGUAGCAUAAAUUCAAAAAAAAUCCUACGCAUAUUCAGAUCUUCCUAUGGAGAGACCAGCAACGAGAGAGGGGUGAGUGCAUCUUCAUACCUUUGGAGAUCGCUAAGCGGAAGCGUUACUAGAACGCGGUUGAUGGAGUCCUACUCGCGGCGAUUCAGAUCGCGGUGUGAUUCUAAUCUAGUGCCGAACCACGGCACCUCCGCGUUCAACACACGNNNNNNNNNNNNNNNNNNNNNNNNNNNNNNNNNNNNNNNNNNNNNNNNNNNNNNNNNNNNNNNNNNNNNNNNNNNNNNNNNNNNNNNNNNNNNNNNNNNNGACUAGCAAGUGGGUGAGGAUCCAUAUCAAUGGAUUUUUAGCAAGCAAAGAUGCAAGCUAAAAGAAGGCACAUGGUAACACAAGCAAACAGAAAGCGAGCGGAAGAAGGGCGAACGGAAAAAGGCAAAUGAAAACGGCAAAUGUGAAGUGGGGGAGAGGAAAACGAGAGGCAACUGGCAAAAAAGGUAAAUGCAAGAGAUGAGUUUGUGACACCUACUUCGAUAGAUCUUGACUUGAUCUCUCCUCCCCGGCAAGGGCGCCACAAAUAGGCGUGUUGACGGGAGAUUAUUCUUGUAUUGAUACUCCUCGACAAGCGAUCCUCCUCCCCGGCAACGGCACCAAAAAUCCUUCUGCUACUGCAACAACAGACCUUCCCUGGUAACUGCGCCAGGAAUCCUGCUGCUACGGGCUACGCCUAUAGGGACUUCCUUGGCAAAUAUGCAAAUGAUUUCCCCGCGGCCUUGGAGCCUUGUGUUGGUGUUCCCUUGAAGAGGAAAGGGUGAUGUAGCACAGCGGCGGUAAGUAUUUCCCUCAGUUUGAGAANNNNNNNNNNNNNNNNNNNNNNNNNNNNNNNNNNNNNNNNNNNNNNNNNNNNNNNNNNNNNNNNNNNNNNNNNNNNNNNNNNNNNNNNNNNNNNNNNNNNUCCUACUCUAGUCGGAUUGGAUUUGAUGAAAAGGGUCCUUAUGAAGGGUAAAUAGCUUUGGCAUAUCAUCGUUGUGGCUGUCACGUAGGUAAGAAGGCGUUCUUGUUAGAAACCCAAAUCAGCCACGUAAAACUUGCAACAACAAUUAGAGGAUGUCUAACUUGUUUUUGCAGGGUUUGACAUGUGAUGUGAUAUGGCCAAAGUUGUGAUGUUGCAUGUAUGAUGUAUGAGAUGAUCAUGUUAUUGUAAUAGGUUUCACGACUUGCAUGUCGAUGAGUAUGACAACCGGCAGGAGCCAUAGGAGUUGUCUUAAUUUAUUGUAUGAGAUGCAACGCCAUGUGCUUACUACUUUUACUUCAUUGCUAACGGUUAGCCAUAGUAGUAGUGAUAGUAGUAGUUGGCGUGACGACUUCACGGAGACACGAUGAUGGAGAUCAUGAUGAUGGAGAUCAUGGUGUCACGCCAGUGACGAUGAUGAUCAUGCGAUGCCUGAAGAUGGAGAUCGAAAGAGCAAAGAUGAUAAUGGCCAUAUCAUGUCACUAUAUGAUUGCAUUGUGAUGUUUAUCAUGUUGUACAUCUUAUUGCUUAAAACGACGGUAGCAUAAUAAGAUGAUCCCUCUUAAAAUUUCGAGAACAUAUUCCCCUAUGUGUGCACCAUUGCGAAGGUUCGUUGUCUCGAAGCACCACGUGAUGAUCGGGUGUGAUAGAUUCUAACGUUCGCAUACAACGGGUGUAAGCCAGAUUUACACACGCGAAACACCUAGGUUGACUCGACGAGCUUAGCAUGUACAGACAUGACCUCGAAUACAAGAGACUGAAAGGUCGAACAUGAGUCGUAUGGUUGAAUACGAUCAGCAUGAAGUUGCUCACCAUGGUGACUAGUCCGUCUCACGUGAUGAUCGGACACGGGUUAGUCAACAUGGAUCAUGUAUCACUUAGAUGACUAGAGGGAUGUCGAUUUAAGUGGGAGUUCAUACUUAAUUUUAUUAAAUGAACUUAAUUGUCAUGAAUUUAGUCUAAAAGUUGUCUUUAUAAAUAUUGUAGAUGUCCAACGUCAACCUCAACUUCAACGCAUUCCUAGAGAAAGACAAGCUGAAAGAUGAUGGUAGCAACUAUGCGGACUGGGUUCGCAACCUGAAGCUCAUCCUUGAAGAAAGUAAAAAGGCUUAUGUCCUUAAUGCGCCGCUAGGUGACCCUCCCGCUCCCGCAGCAGCCCAGGACAUUCUAAACGUCUGGCAAGCGCGGAGUGAUGACUACUCUCUGGUCAGGUGUGGCAUGUUAUACAGUUUAGAAACGGGGCUCCAAAGACGUUUUGAGCAAUACGGGGCAUAUGAGAUGUUCCAAGAGCUGAAGCUAGUUUUUCAAGCUCAUGCCCGUGUCGAGAGAUAUGAAGUCUCCGACAAGUUCUUCAGCUGUAAGAUGGAGGAGAACAGUUCUGUCAGUGAUCACAUACUCAAAAUGUCUGGAUUACACGGUCGUCUGACUUCACUUGGAGUCGAACUUCCGGAUGAUGCUAUCAUUGACAGAAUCCUCCAGUCUCUCCCACCAAGCUACAAAGGCUUUGUGCUUAACUACAACAUGCAAGGGAUGGAGAAAACCAUUCCCGAGUUGUACUCGAUGCUCAAGUCUGCAGAAGUAGAAAUCAAGAAGGAGCAUCAAGUGUUGAUGGUCAACAAGACCACUAGUUUCAAGAAAGGCAGGGGUAAGAAGAACUUCAAGAAAGACGGCAAAACUGUUGCCGCGCCCGGUAAGCCAGAUGUCGGGAAGAAGAAAAAGAACGGACCCAAGCCUGAGACUGAGUGCUUCUAUUGCAAGGGAAAGGGUCACUGGAAGCGGAACUGCCCCAAAUACUUAGCGGACAAGAAGGCCGGCAACGUUAAAGGUAUAUUUGAUAUACAUGUUAUUGAUGUGUACCUUACCAGUGCUCGUAGUAGCUCCUGGGUAUUUGAUACCGGUGUUGUUGCUCACAUUUGCAACUCAAAGCAGGAACUGCGGAAUAAGCGGAGACUGGCCAAGGACGAGGUGACGAUGCGCGUCGGGAAUGGUUCAAAGGUCGAUGUGAUCGCCGUCGGCACGCUACCUCUACAUCUACCGUCGGGAUUAGUUUUAAACCUUAAUAAUUGUUAUUUAGUACCAGCUUUAAGCAUGAACAUUGUAUCAGGGUCUUGCUUAAUGCGAGACGGCUACUCAUUUAAGUCAGAGAAUAAUGGUUGUUCUAUUUAUAUGAGUGAUAUGUUUUAUGGUCAUGCUCCGCUGGUGAAUGGUUUAUUCUUGAUGAAUCUCGAUCGUGAUGUUACACAUAUUCAUAGCGUGAGUACCAAAAGAUGCAAAGUUGAUAAUGAUAGUCCCACGUACUUGUGGCACUGCCGCCUUGGUCAUAUCGGCGUUAAACGCAUGAAGAAGCUCCAUACUGAUGGACUAUUAGAGUCUCUUGACUUUGAAUCAUUUGACACAUGCGAACCGUGCCUCAUGGGCAAGAUGACUAAGACUCCAUUCUCAGGAAUAAUGGAGAGAGCAACCGACUUAUUGGAAAUAAUACAUACUGAUGUGUGUGGUCCAAUGAACGUUGAAGCUCGCGGUGGUUAUAGUUAUGUUCUCACUCUCACCGAUGAUUUGAGUAGGUAUGGGUAUAUCUACUUGAUGAAGCACAAAUCUGAGACGUUUGAAAAGUUCAAAGAAUUUCAGAGUGAGGUUGAGAAUCAACGUGACAGAAAAAUUAAAUGUCUACGAUCUGAUCGUGGAGGAGAAUAUUUGAGUCACGAGUUUGGCACACACCUAAGGAAGUGUGGAAUCGUUUCACAACUGCUCCGCCUGGCACACCGCAGCGCAACGGAGUGUCUGAACGUCGUAAUGCACUUUAUUAGAUAUGGUACGAUCUAUGAUGUCUCUCACCGACUUACCGCUAUCAUUUUGGGGAUACGCAUUAGAAACUGCAGCAUUCACUUUAAAUAGGGCACCGUCUAAAUCCGUUGAGACGACACCGUAUGAAAUGUGGUUUGGCAAGAAACCUAAGUUGUCGUUUCUUAAAGUUUGGGGCUGCGAUGCUUAUGUGAAGAAACUUCAACCAGAAAAGCUCGAACCCAAAGCGGAGAAAUGCGUAUUCAUAGGAUACCCUAAGGAAACUAUUGGGUAUACCUUCUAUCUUAGAUCCGAAGGUAAAACCUUUGUUGCCAAGAACGGAUCCUUUCUAGAGAAAGAGUUUCUCUCGAAAGAAGUAAGUGGGAGGAAGGUAGAACUUGAUGAGGUAAUUACACCCCCUCUCGAACAGGAAAGUAGCGCAGCGCAAGAAGUUGUUCCUGUGGUGCCUACACCGACUGAAGAGGAAGUUAAUGAUGAUGAUCAUGAAGCUUCGGAUCAAGUUACUACUGAACCGCGAAGGUCCACAAGGGUACGCUCCGCACCAGAGUGGUACGGCAACCCUGUGAUGGAAAUCAUGUUGUUAGACAACGGUGAACCUUCGAACUAUGAAGAAGCGAUGGCGGGCCCGGAUUCCAACAAAUGGCUUGAGGCCAUGAAAUCCGAGAUAGGAUCCAUGUAUGAGAACAAAGUAUGGACUUUGGUGGACUUGCCCGAUGACCGGCGAGCCAUAGAAAAUAAAUGGAUCUUCAAGAAGAAGACUGAUGCAAACGGUAAUGUAACCGUUCACAAAGCUCGACUUGUCGCAAAGGGUUUUCGACAGAUUCAAGGAGUUGACUACGAAGAGACUUUCUCUCCCGUAGCGAAGCUGAAAUCAGUCCGAAUCAUGUUAGCAAUUGCCGCCUUUUAUGAUUAUGAAAUUUGGCAAAUGGACGUCAAAACGGCGUUCCUUAACGGGAACCUUAAGGAAGAGUUGUAUAUGAUGCAACCAGAAGGUUUUGUCGACCCUAAGGGUGCUAACAAAGUAUGCAAGCUCCAGCGCUCCAUCUAUGGGCUGGUGCAAGCAUCUCGGAGUUGGAACAUUCGCUUUAAUGAAGUGAUUAAAGCGUUUGGGUUCAUACAGGUUUACGGAGAAGCCUGUCUGUACAAGAAAGUGAGUGGGAGCUCUGUAGCUUUCCUCGUACUAUAUGUGGAUGACAUAUUAUUGAUGGGGAAUGAUAUAGAGAUGUUGGAGAGCAUAAAGGCCUAUUUGAACAAGAGUUUUUCAAUGAAGGACCUUGGAGAAGCUGCAUACAUAUUAGGCAUCAAGAUCUAUAGAGAUAGAUCGAGACGCCUCAUAGGUCUUUCGCAAAGUACAUACCUUGACAAGAUAUUGAAGAAGUUCAAUAUGGAAAACUCAAAGAAAGGGUUCUUGCCAGUUUUGCAAGGUAUGAGAUUGAGUAAGACUCAGUCGCCGACCACGGCAGCAGAUAGAGAGAAGAUGGGUUCUCUCCCCUACGCUUCAGCCGUGGGCUCUCUAAUGUAUGCCAUGCUGUGUACCAUACCUGAUAUAAACCUUGCGAUAAGCUUGGUAGGGAGGUACCAAAGUAAUCCCGGUGCGGAACACUGGACAGCGGUCAAGAAUAUCCUUAAGUACCUGAAAAGGACUAAGGAAAUGUUUCUCGUUUAUGGAGGUGACGAAGAGCUCGUCGUAAAGGGUUACGUCGAUGCUAGCUUCGAUACAGAUCCGGAUGACUCUAAGUCACAAACCGGAUACGUAUAUGUGUUGAAUGGUGGGGCAGUGAGCUGGUGCAGCAGCAAGCAAGAAGUCGUGGCAGCAUCUACAUGUGAAGCGGAGUACAUAGCUGCUUCAGAAGCGACUCAUGAAGGAAUUUUGAUGAAGGAGCUCAUCACCGACCUUGGAGUGGUUCCAAGCGCGUCGGGUCCUAUGACACUCUUCUGUGAUAACACUGGAGCCAUUGCCAUAGCCAAGGAGCCCAGGUUUCACCGGAAGACGAAGCACAUCAAGCGCCGCUACAACUCCAUCCAGGACCAUGUCCAGAGUGGAGCGAUAGAUAUUUGUAAAGUACACACGGAUCUGAAUAUUGCAGACCCGUUGACUAAACCUCUUCCACGAGCAAAACAUGAUCAGCACCAUAAUGCUAUGGGCGUUCGAUACAUCACAAUGUAACUAGAUUAUUGACUCUAGUGCAAGUGGGAGACUGUUGGAAAUAUGCCCUAGAGGCAAUAAUAAAAUGGUUAUUAUCAUAUUUCCUUGUUCAUGAUAAUCGUCUAUCGUUCAUGCUAUAAUUGUAUUAACAGGAAACAGUAAUACAUGUGUGAAUGAAUAGAUCACAAUGUGUCCCUAGCAAGCCUCUAGUUGGCUAGCUCGUUAGUCAAUAGAUGAUCAUGGUUUCCUGAUCAUGGACAUUGGAUGUCAUUGAUAACGGGAUCACAUCAUUGGGAGAAUGAUGUGGUGGACAAGACCCAAUCCUAAGCCUAGCACUAGAUCGUAUUGUUCGUAUGCUAAUGCUUUUCUAAUGUCAAGCAUCUUUUCCUUCGACCGUGAGAUUGUGCAACUCCCGGAUACCGUAGGAGUGCUUUGGGUGUAUCAAACGUCACAACGUAACUGGGUGACUAUAAAGGUGCACUACGGGUACCUCCGAAAGUGUCUGUUGGGUUGGCACGAAUCGAGAUCGGGAUUUGUCACUCCGUGUGACGGAGAGGUAUCUCUGUGCCCACUCGGUAGAACAUCAUCAUGAGCUCAAUGUGACUAAGGAGUUAGUCACACGAUGACGUGCUACGGAACGAGUAAAGAGACUUACCGGUAACGAGAAUGNNNNNNNNNNNNNNNNNNNNNNNNNNNNNNNNNNNNNNNNNNNNNNNNNNNNNNNNNNNNNNNNNNNNNNNNNNNNNNNNNNNNNNNNNNNNNNNNNNNNAAAAAGUUUUAAGUUCCCAUCUAUAUUUUUUUGUUUUUAAACUAUAUAAAAUCACUCAACAAAAAUAAAUGACUCUCUAAAACUUCCGGGUUGUCUCCCAGGCAGCGCUUUCUUUAAAGCCAUUAAGCUAGGCAUAAAGUGCUCAAGUAAUGGAUCCACCCGGAUCCCAAGGUAUAUCAAAGCCAAUUUUAAUUAACAAUGAUUUGCAAUUUAGUAGUGAGCACAAGGUAACGUAUAUCAUGCAAUGACGAAGUCUAACUCUCUUCCUAUGCAUUGGCAUGUCAUAAAAGAACAAUUCAUGCACAUCAAGUAAAGGCCAAUACAUAGCAUAAGCAGUUUCUUGCAAUUUUAUCAUAUUGGAAACAUAGAGAGGUGGAGAUGUAGUUCCUCUCUCAUAAUAAUUGCAAGUAGGAGCAGCAAGCACGUGCAUCUUAUAUUCAUCAAAAUCAUCAUGUGUAAUAGUUGAAGGCAACCCAUCUAUGUAAUCCCUAAUAAGAGCAAACUUCUUCGAUAUAGUGUAGUUGGGAGAGUUCAAAAAGAUAAUAGGACUAUCAUAAGUGGGUGCGUUAGCAACAAUUUCAUGUUUAGCAUAAGGAACUAUAGCAAGUUCAUCUUCAUAAGCAUCAUUCAUAUUGGCAUCAUGGCUACAAGCAUAGAAAGCAUCAAGUUCAUCAAAAAGGGAUAUUUCAAACGAAUCCAAGGGAUCAUAGCAAUCAACAUAGCAUUCAUCCUUCGGUAAUAACGAAGGGAAAUUAAACAAUGUAUGAGUUGAAGAGUUACUCUCAUUAGAAGUUGGGCACGAGUAGCUAGUCCGCUCUUCCUCCUUUUGUUCUUCGCUCUUCUCGUCAUCUUUUUCAUCUAAUGAGCUCACAGUUUCAACAUUUCUUCUUCCAUAGUUUCCUGCAAAAUAUUAGUCUCUUCUUGGGCAGCGAAGAAUUUCUCCAUAAAUCGAUAAAUAUGGGCAUUAUAUUCAUAAUUAGUAUAACAAUGACGAAGCAUAACCAAAUUUUUACGUUGGUAAGCAGCAUCAUCAUUAUCAUCACACCCUUUAAACAGAGCUUCAAUUUCAUAAGCACCCAUAAAAGCAACAAACUCUUCUAUUUGUUCCACAUCAUAGUAAUCAUAUAUACCAUUAGCAUAAGAAGCCAAGGUUUCAUUAGCAUUAAAUUUACAAGAAAAGGGAAGGUGUUUAGCCUUCAUCGUAGAGCAACAUGUAAUAUCAUAUCUCAAGCAUAACUCCCAAGCAUACCAUUUCAACAUAUGAAUUUGAUCCCAUAAUAGUUUCCCUUUUUGAGUCAAGUGAUAAUCCCUAAAGUAUUCACGUUGAUCCAACGUGUAUCCCAUUAUAUAAUUUAAUGGGGUCUUCUCAGGAUUAUUAAAGAAGUGCAUAAUAUUUUCCACAUAACGAGCAUCGAGGGUUUUAGGAGGUUCCCCAUCUCCAUGAGUAGCAAUUACACCUAAUUGUUUUGGUAUUUCAUGUUCCAUAUCCAUAACUAAAGAUAGAGAAAAAAUUAGAACAACAAAUAAAUCUACUUAGUGAUAAAGAAAACAAGCACACACAAGAAUAUUCACCCCACGCUAUUGCUCCCCGGCAGCGGCGCCCGAAAAAGGUCUUGAUAACCCACAAGUAUAGGGGAUUUAAUUGUAGCCUUUCUCGAUAAGUAAGAGUGUCGAACCCAACGAGGAGCUAAAGGUAGGACAAAUAUUACCUCAAGUUCUAUCGACCAUCGAUACAACUCUACGCACACUUUACGUUCGCUUUACCUAGAACAAGUAUGAAACUAGAAGUACUUUGUAGGAGUGAUAGGAUAGGUUUGCAAGAAAAGAAAGAACACGUAAAUAAAAACUAGGGGCUGGUUAGAACAAUUACGUUAGUUUAACGAGUGUGGAAAAGUGGUGGUAGGAGUAGCGGAAUUGUCCCUAAGCAAUUGACUACGUUACUAGACCGAUAGCGAGUUUUAUGUGGGAGGGGCCACUGCUAGCAUGUCAUCCCUUACUUGGAAUUAUAUGCACUUAUGAUUGGAACUAUUGGCAAGCAUCCGCAACUACUAACGUUCAUUAAGGUAAAACCCAACCAUAGCAAUAAGAUAUAUUGGUCCCCCUUCAAUCCCGUAUGCUUCAAUUUCUAUGCUAGGCUGAAGCUUCUGUCACCCUUUCCCUCCAAUACAUAGUCCUAUCAACAUACUACUAACCCUAUGGUGUGAUCCACGCGCGCGCUCAUAUGAUGGGCACCAAAGGACAACAACAUAACCACAAGAAAACAAAACCAAUCAUAGCAAUUUGUCAAUCACCGAUAGGACAACGAAAAUCUACUCAGACAUCAUAGGCUGGCAACACAUCAUUGGAUAAUAAUAUGAAGCAUAAAGAACCAUGUUCAAGUAGAGGGUACAAAGGGUUGCGGGAGUGGACCGCUGAAUAUAGAUGGGGGAAGGUGAUGGAGGUGUUGGUGAAGAUGACGGAGGUGUUGGUGUAGAUCGCCGUCACACGAUGAUGUCCCGGGCGGCGUUCCGGCGCCGCCGGGAGAGAGGGGGAGAGAUCACCCUUCUUCUUCUUCCUUGACCUCCUCCCUAGAUGGGAGAAGGGUUUCCCCUCUGGUACAUGGUCUCCAUGGUGGCGGAGGGGCGAGAGCCCCUGCGAGAUUGGAUCUCUCUCUGUGUGUCCUUCUGUUUUUGCGCUCCCAGAUUCUACCUUUCAUCGUUUCUUAAAUUCCUAGAGAUCCAUAACUCCGAUUGGGCUGAAAUUUUAACACGAUUUUCUUCCGGAUAUUAGCUUUCUUGCGGUGAAAUAAGGUCCGCAACCGCAUUAGGGAUUGGUCACAAGCCUGCGAGGCGCGACCCCCCCUAGGGCGCGCCUAGUGGGCUUGUGACCUCCUCGGGCACCGUUUCGCGUAGAUUCUUCUUUCGAAAAAUCAUAAAUAUUCCAAAAAAAUCGCUAUAGGUUUUUUAUUGCGUUUGGACUUCGUUUGGUAUGGAUAAUCUGCGAAACAAAAAACAUGCAACAAACAGGAACUGGCACUGGGCACUGGAUCAAUACGUUAGUCCCUAAAAUAGUAUAAAAAGUUGCCAAAAGUAUAUGAAAGUUGUAGAAUAUUUGCAUGAAACAAUCAAAAAUUAUAGAUACGACGGAGACGUAUCAAUAACGGGAUCACAUCAUUGGGAGAAUGAUGUGAUGGACAAGACCCAAAACUAUGAACAUAGCAUAUGAUCGUGUCAGUUUAUUGUUACUAUUUUCUGCAUGUCAAUGUAUCUGUUCCUAUGACCAUGAGAUCAUGCAACUCCUGGACACCGUAGGAAUACCUUGUGGGUUAUCAAACAUCACAACGUAACUGGGUGACUAUAAAGAUGCUCUACAGGUAUCUCCAAAGGUGUCUGUUGGGUUGGCAUGGAUCAAGACUGGGAUUUGUCACUCCAUGUGACGGAGAGGUAUCUCGGGGCCCGCUUGGUAAUACAACAUCACAACAAGCCUUGCAAGAAAUGUGGCUAAGGAGUUAGUUACGGGAUCUUGUAUUACAGAACGAGUAAAGAGACUUGGCAGUAACGAGAUUGAACUAAGUAUGGAGAUACCGACGAUCGAAUAUUGGGCAAGUAACAUACCAAAGGACAAAGGGAACAACAUACGAGAUUAACUGAAUCCUUUACAUAGAGGUUCAACCGAUAGAGAUCUUCGUAGAAUAUGUGGGAGCCAAUAUGGACAUCUAGCUCCCUCUAUUGGUUAUUGACCAGAGAGUGUCUCAGGUCAUGUGUGCAUAGUUCUCGAACUAGCAGGGUCUACACACUUAAGGUUCGGUGAUGUUUCGGUAUAGAUGAGUUAUGUGUGCUGGUGACCGAAGUUUUGUUCGGAGUCCUGAAUGAGAUCCCAGACGUCACAAGGUUUUCCGGAAUGGUAUUUGGAUUCCGGAAAGUUUUCGGGCAUUACCGACAGUAUACCGGGAGUGACGAAUGGGUUCCGGGGCCCACCUAGUGGGUACACCACGCCCCAAGGGGUCCACAUGGGUUUAUUGGAUGCGCACUAAGGCUUAAUGGGCUGACAAGUCAUCCAAGGAAAUCCCAUGAGGAAAAAGGUGGAAAAUCCAAAAGAGGUGGGCAAUUUUGGAAGGAGUCCUAAUCCAACUGGGAUUGGAGGAGGACUCCUCCCUCCUCCACUUCGGCCGAGCCAAGGAGGCUCUCCUUGAGCCUCAAGGCUAGCCCCUCCCUCCUCCUAUAUAUACUAGAGGGUUUAGGGUUUUUGAGACACAACUUUGCCACGUGCAACCCUAAACCUCUACUUCAUAGUUAUUCCUCUAGAUCGGAUUUCUGCAUUGCUUAGGGGAAGCCCUGCAGGAAUAGAUCACCACCACCACCGGCGAGCCGUCACGCUGCCGGGGAACUCAUCUACAUCCCCGUCUCUCUUUCUGGAUCAAGAAGGCGGAGAUCGUCAUCGAGCUGUAUGUGUGCAGAACACGGAGGUGUCGUCCGUUCGGCACUUGAUCGGGACGGAUCAUGGGACGGUUCGUGGGACGGAUCGUGAAGACAUACCACUACAUCAACCAAAUUUAUUAACGCUUCCCGCUUAGCGAUCUACAAGGGUAUGUGGACCGANNNNNNNNNNNNNNNNNNNNNNNNNNNNNNNNNNNNNNNNNNNNNNNNNNNNNNNNNNNNNNNNNNNNNNNNNNNNNNNNNNNNNNNNNNNNNNNNNNNNACAAUGUGUCCCUAGCAAGCCUCUAGUUGGCUAGCUCGUUAGUCAAUAGAUGAUCAUGGUUUCCUGAUCAUGGACAUUGGAUGUCAUUGAUAACGGGAUCACAUCAUUGGGAGAAUGAUGUGGUGGACAAGACCCAAUCCUAAGCCUAGCACUAGAUCGUAUUGUUCGUAUGCUAAUGCUUUUCUAAUGUCAAGCAUCUUUUCCUUCGACCGUGAGAUUGUGCAACUCCCGGAUACCGUAGGAGUGCUUUGGGUGUAUCAAACGUCACAACGUAACUGGGUGACUAUAAAGGUGCACUACGGGUACCUCCGAAAGUGUCUGUUGGGUUGGCACGAAUCGAGAUCGGGAUUUGUCACUCCGUGUGACGGAGAGGUAUCCCUGGGCCCACUCGGUAGAACAUCAUCAUGAGCUCAAUGUGACUAAGGAGUUAGUCACACGAUGACGUGCUACGGAACGAGUAAAGAGACUUACCGGUAACGAGAUUGAACAAGGUAUAGGUAUACCGACGAUCGAAUCUCGGGCAAGUUCUACACCGACAGACAAAGGGAAUUGUAUACGGGAUUGAUUGAAUCCUUGACAUCGUGGUUCAUCCGAUGAGAUCAUCGUGGAGCUAGUGGGAGCCACCAUGGGUAUCCAGACCCCGCUAAUGGUUAUUGGCCAGAGAGGUGUCUCGGUCAUGUCUGCCUGUCUCCCGAACCCGUAGGGUCUACACACUUAAGGUUCGAUGACGGUGGGGUUAUAGGGAAUUGUUAUACGAGAUUACCGAAAGUUGUUCGGAGUCCCGGAUGAGAUCCCGGAUGUCACGAGGAGCUCCGGAAUGGUCCGGAGGUAAAGAUUGAUAUAUAGGACGGAUGGUUUCGGACACCGGAAGUGUUUCGGGCAUCACCGGUAACGUACCGGGACCACCGGGACCACCGGAGGUGGUCCCGGGGGACCACCGAAGGGGGGUGACGACCCCGGGAGGCUAGAUGGGCUAAGUGGGGAAGGGAACCAGCCCCUAAGUGGGCUGGUGCGCCCCCCACCCAGCCCAUGUGCACCAGAAAAAAGGGGAAAGGGGGGAACCCUAACUAAGGUGGGCCUUAGGCCCACCAGAGGGGUGCGCCACCCCUCCUCCUUGCCCUGGCCGCCACUCCCCCCAUCUGGGAGGGCUGCCGCACCCCCUAAGGUGGGAACCCUAGGGGUGGCACCCCCUCUCCCCUUCCCCUAUAUAUAGUGGGCACUUUAGGCCUUUGGAGGACACGGUUUUCCCUCUCCCUCGACGCAGCCCUGCACUUCUUCCUCCUCCUCUCUGCCGGCGCUUGGCGAAGCCCUGCCGGGAGACCUCGUCUCUCCACCAACACCACGCCGUCGUGUUGUUGGUCUUCUUCCCCAACCUCUCCCUCCUCCUUGUUGGAUCAAGGUGCAGGAGACGUCACCGGGCUGUUCGUGUGUUGAACGCGGAGGUGCCGUUGUUCGGCACUAGAUCGGACUCGCUGCGAGUACGACUCCAUCAACCGCGUUCUAGCAACGCUUCCUCUUAGCGAUCUUCAAAGGUACGAAGACGCUCUUACCCCUCUCUCGUUGCUGGUCUCUCCAUAGGAAGAUCUGAACAUGCAUAGGAAUUUUUUUGAAUUUAUGCUACGUUCCCCAACACUGUCGCCCCGUGGUUCUCCCUGCAGGUGCACCGACUGGCGUAUUGCCUUUGCGUCACCCCUUCGGGUCACAGUGCCGCGACACACAGUCCUCGCUGCCGCCCGAGGCUGUUCCCGUGGCUACACCAACCUGCAUUCUACCACCGCGCCGCCCCUUCGGGACGUAGCGCCGCGGCAUACGGUCCACGCCGUCGCACCGAAGUCUUCCCGCCGUUGUCGCAUGUUGCUGCCCAUUCGGGAUGUAGCGCCAUGACAUGUUGUCCAUGCCGUCGCCUUGAGGGAUUCCUGAUGUCGCCACCUAUUGUCAUUACGUCCCUCCUUCGGUCCGUAGCGUUGCGCCCCACGGUCCACUUUGUUGUCCCCAUGCGUCGACUCUACGUGCUAUGCGCCGCGCCGCCUCCUUUGGUACGGGAACGCCACCGUCCACCUGGUCUUCGUCACGUUGUUGGGUUCUCCUCGCCUACUUCGAGCAUCGCCGCCGCACUCCUAACCUAGCCGCCACCGCUACCUUCUUAGGUCGCCGUUGUUGCUCUGCUUCCUCGGCGCCACUAUCGCACGCUCACCCAAGCUGUGCCACCAGUCCACCCCCUUCAUCUUCGUCCAACACCAGCUCAUCGCCAGCGUCGCCGUCAUCUUCUUCGACCACAAUGAGUGACAUCGGCCCUCACCGAUUUGCGCCACAACCGUCGUCCACUCCUUCUUUGCUAGCCCCCUCGACCUAGCGUACAAGUUGUGCAGGUUCCCGUCAACAACGUCUUCUUUCCGACGCACCGCUACUUGGACACCACAGCACCAUGACUAACUCCACGUCGACUAACUUGACCCCGACCACCCACACUCGAUAUCGACCACGGCUAACUCGUCCAUGGCUACACCACCGACGCUCUCGGCCACCUCCACAACGGUACAAAGGGCUAUCACGUCGCUUGAGCAACUCAUCGGCUUCCUCUACAGUUCACGUGUCCGUGACGCGACACUGUCCCUAACGCUCCUGCUACGACUGCAGGGGAUGUCAACCCGUCGGCUGUUAUUCUCUCUAGUCUGAUCGUUCACGACGUUUUUGUUGUUCGCAACGCUACCGUCACGACUGCAGGGGAUAUUAGAGAUAUAUUUAGUACACAUGUAUUUGGUAGUCUAGAAUUUAUAAUUUAUCUUUUACCUUAUCUUUAGAAAAGGCUUCUUGUCUUUCAGAUCUAUACUUUUAUUUAUACUCGUUGGUAAGACUGAAUACAGUAUCCAUCAAUUCCACCCAUAAUAAUACACUAUAUUAAAGCUACUAAGGAGGGGCUCCUCCCGUGCGUUUGAAGUGUUGCGUGAUUGGUUUUACCUGGCUGACACGUGUAACUGAUUUUUCUUGUGGUUUACCGCCAAACCGGUUUUCUCUCGAUUUGGUUCAGCGUGAUUUCCAGUCGCACCGCCUUACGCUAGAUAUUUCCAGCCGCUGCACGUAUCUGCACCUCAUUUACGCACCGUCCCUCUCUCUAUCUCUCUCGGUCUCUCCUCCCACCCGCUUCCUCCCUCUUCCCAAUGGAGGCGGCGCCCUCCUCGCCUUUCCUCCCAGCUACACAUCUUGCUCGCUGGACGCCCCUCCUCCCCCUAUUUGAGGUCAUCGUUCUCGCCGUCACCUCAAGGACAUCGGAGAGCCAACCGAUUAGUGUGGAGAAGGAGCUGAUGUUGGCGAGCACCUCGAUCUGGAGAUCGUGUGCGACAACAGCAUGUGUCAGGAUUCGUCUUUCAGCCGCGUCGCCGCGAGGAGGAGAGCGCUGGAAGCCCGUGUCGGCAAAGUGCAUCGCUGGUUCUCUUGAUCGCGUGGCGUUACAUGGGCCCGUCUCCUUGGUCGUGUUCGUGUGUUGGGAUCUUCUCUGUGUUCCUUAUGGCGUUAGGUAGGGCCUCUCUGCUAGGUACGUCCUUUGCUCAAUUUCUUUGUUAUUUUUCUUCCCUCCUUCCUCACUGACUCCAUAACUUUUUUCACGUGUUAGGCAGCACCGCAGUAGCUACAAUGCUGGUAGAAGCAAGCCAACAAUUACCUGCCAGAAGCUCUCCAUCUGGUCUCUAUUUUGCAGCCGGCGGCAACAACAACACUACCAAAGUAUGGUGCGCCCAGGCCUCAUGUCAUAAAUUUAUUUAGCCAUGCUCACUACAACUUUUUAGUUAAUUUCAGUUUUAGUGCUAAAUAUGUAUACGGUAUCGUUUAUAGGUGGUGCUGCAUUGUAGCUUUAUGGAAUCCUUUUGGACUUCAAAAACUAGGACCCGUGUAAACUGUUGGUGGUUUGUACUUCGUAGCUUCAUAAGAGUCAGACUAAUUACAUUUUUAAUGUCAUGAACUUAUUUUAUCCUCAUGGUUACCGCAAAGUAAGUUGUACAGUGUUGGUUUGAGCCAUUAAUAUGGCAUGACGAGGCACUGUUUUUGACACAUGUGUAAUUUUACAGGGUGGUACUCUAGAGGGAUCAAUGACGUUCAAUAGAAUGUCCAGAUUUUAAACAUAUAAAGUUUGAGGAAGGAUUAGUCUACUAUUGACUGUUUUGGUAUUGAAGGCUAGAGAAAAAUACACUGUCCGUUCCAAAAAUAAGUGUCGCGGCCUUAGUACAAAAUUUGUACUAAUUUAGUGUUAAAUUUGCGGCACUUAUUUUAUGACAGAGGGAGUACUAAGUAGUGGAUUUCAUCACCCAUGGAGAUUUUAUUUCACUCGAGAACUAUAUCUGUAUCACUUGCUCCACAACCAUAAAACUUCCACGUUUUGGACGUGUUCCCAUUUUCAAAACUUCAGAAGUGUGUUUGGUACAAUAUUUUGGUGUUAAGCCAAAUAAUGGAUUUAUUUUCUCCUCAUUUUGUAUGCAUGGAAAUAAUUGGCUGUUAUGAUUUUACAUUCCUUCGAGAUGCUGGGAGUUUAUGAAGUUUCAAAGAUGAUGACUUCCUUUUAUAUAGAUAAUGUAUUUAUUUUCUCCUCAUUUUGUAUGCAUGGAAAUAAUUGGCUCUUAUGAUUUUACAUUCCUUGCAGAUGCUACGAGUUUAUGAACUUUCAAAGAUGAUGACUUCCUUUUAUAUAGAUAAUGUAUUUAUUUUCUCCUCAUUUUGUAUGCAUGGAAAUAAUUGGCUGUUAUGAUUUUACAUUCCUUCCAAAUGCUACGAGUUUAUGAAGUUUCAAAGAUGAUGACUUCCUUUUAUAUAGAUAGAUCAUUUGCUCUAAACAUGACGCUUAUGAGAAACUGGAGUAACUUUACUCAUGUGCUUUGUGUCGCUUUCUUGAUUUUGAAGUUUACUUUGUAAAAAAUCGUUCAUGUGUUGGCUAAUGUAUCUACAAGGUAGCCCGGAAAGGUUGUAAAUUAUAUUUAAAAAAAGAUAAAGUAUGUUGUGUUUUAAAUCUGAAAGUGAAAAAAUUAGGCUUAUGAGGUAGUAGUUUUACCACUGCGCCAAGGUUCCCCUUCUUACUAUGAAUAUCUAUAUUCCUGAUAAAUUCAUCUCCUAUUACGUCCAUGUUUCGGUUUAGCCUGGGUAUUAUCCAGUGCUGGCCUAAUUUGACAUUGUUGGUUUCUCUUUUUUUUUUAGUUUCCAAAGAAGUUUUCGAAAUUCUCAAUAGCUCACCUUAAUUAUAUUCGUGUUCUCCCUAAAAACGUAUUUGAUGAUUUUCUUUUAAUAGUGUUGCACUUCGCUCUAUACUGGAAGCUCAUUCAACCAGUCAAGGCAAUGUUCAAUUCGAUCGCUUUCAUAUACAUUGUUUCUUCACCACACUGCUCAUGAUUGUUUUCAUUCCUAAUUAUGUUUCUUUUUGUCUGAUCCACUUGGUUCACCCAAAGAGAUAUUAUGCAAAUGUACUUCACUAUUUGUUUCAAAAGAUGCCUCUUUUUGUCUGAUCCAUUUGAUUCACCGAAAGAGAUAUUAUGCAAAUGUACUUUGCUAUUUGUUUCAAAAGAUGUCUCUUUUAGUCUGAUCCACUUGAUUCACCGAAAGAGAUAUUAUGCAAAUGUACUUCGCUAUUUGUUUUAAAAGAGUUUACUGCAUUUGUUGCUCACUAGAACAUCCCGGAAUAUUUUCCAAAGAAUUCUAUCAAUUCUUGUGAGUUAACCUAUCGAAUUGAUUUAUAUAUAGCUAUUUCAUACUCUGGUGCAUAUAUGCAGAAAAUAAAUUGUAUUGUAUGCAGGUUAUGAUGAUAAUACUGAGAAAGGUAGCACUGGUGCGGCUGUUGUAAUCUGGAUGGGUCUAUCAUAUUAUCUGUAUGUUCUUCUCUGAUGUUGUGACUUGAGGCUGAAGAACUUAAAAUUAUUGCCUGACUUCAAGACCUAAAAGCACUCACAAUAGUUGUGAUCCUCCCAUCAUUAUUGGCUGUUAUUUCUACUUUGAAGAAUGCAAUGCACAAUAGAUCUCGACUUCGUAAUUGUGAUCUGGAAACUAGGGACUCUUCGGAUAUAACUGAAUUUGUGAAGAUUCAUCGAACUGCUAAUAUGGUGGCUGUAUUGCCAGCACGAUUCUUACCAAUUUUGUAAAUUCUAAAACCAUGUAAUGAUUUUUUCCUCAAACUUCUCGCAAAAAUAAAAGAAUAUUUUUCUCUGCUAUGUGUGUUGUUUUUCUGGCUAACUUUUAAGCAAUAGAAAGAUACUCCUGGUAUAGAUUGGCAAGUGUUUGAACUGAACCAGAAAAGAUAAUGUAUGCUGUGUAUACUGCAUGGGUAAGUCGUGCAGGUUGCUCUGUUAAUUGAAAAUGCAGGUGAUGGUUAUUCAUGACACUUUAGGUUUAGAUGUUUUUUUUACCUGUCAACAUUUAAUUACUGUAUAAUUUUAUUUAUUGGAGUAAAGGUUACAUUCUCUCACGUUUAGACUGAUCAAGGUAAAUACUAAAUAGUAAGUUCCGUCUACAUAACUAAAACAAUUUUAGAGGCUACAAGUACAAUGCCUGCGAGUUGGGUGACCACUUCUAUUCAAGAUAGCCACAAUAACCAAUUUAUACAUAUGAUCUAUAACAAAUAGUACAAGGUAAUCAUAUAGUACAAGGUAAUUAUGGUACUGGAUUAUAGCAUUUGAUCUUAGGAUACUUGGGCUUUGCUCAUGCAAUUUUGCCUGCUACUUUUGGGAUGGUGCUGCAAGGGUAGACCGCCACCAUUUUGAGGCCCUCGACAUAACUCUCGGAGACAUACUUUUCAGUGAACAACAACAACAAAUUUCUCUUCCUUUUGAUAUUUUAUAAUAGAAAUGAACUUCUAUGCUACAUUGAUUGGUGCUCUCACAAAAACAAUAGUCGGUCAAAUCAUAACUAAACCGACGAUGGGGGCACGCCGCGCCUUCACGCCACUAGUCUCUCUUUAUCCCUUUUACAUGUUCUGCUCGAAGAGAGCAAUUGGGUGAAAAUGGAAGUGGGAGGACUUCAUAUUGUGCAAGGACACUUUUGCAAGCGAAUACGAGGCCAAAUUUAGCUUUUUAUCUCCAAGCAGGAUACCUUUUUAAGCGAGCGCUAGUGGGAAUUUCUUGUCCAAACCAACAAUCGAAUUGCUGCCAGGGAAUACCAAAUCCAUUUCAUGCACUUCAAUUCAGACAUCCAAAUAAGAAUUCUUGAAGAUCAAUAAACUUCAAGGAAUUUAAAAAUAAAAAUAGAACUUCUAGGAGUAUAAUGUAAUCCCUCCGUCGUAAAAUAAAUGUCGUUGGUUUAGUAUAAAAUUUAUACUUCCUCUGUGCCAAAAUAAAUGUCUUGAGAUUAGUAUAACUUUAUACUAGAGCUAGUAUAAAGUUAAGACAAUUAUGGACAGAGGGAGUACUAAUUUAGUGUGGGACAGAGGGGGUAGUAUAUGGUUUAUAUACACACCGUAUGCGGAAAUUGCUUUUGGCUUGCGAGCUCCAUGGUGGCCUUUAAAUUCAAACUUUAAAUUUCGUGAAAAUUCAUAUUUUAAUAUUUUAAAAAAAAUCUGAAAAAAAUAUAUAGAUAGCUGAAGGUAUAAUAUAUAAGUGUGUUAAUUUUCAGAACAAAAUACGUUGAAAUGAGGGCUGUACAAAAAAGAUAAAUCUGGAACUUUUUAACACAUGUUACCAUUCAUCAUUUCACGCAAUGAAUUUAUCUUUUUUGUACAGGUUGCGUUUCAAAGUAUUUCGACCUGAAAUUUUACAUACACCACUAGUGGGGACACGGCCUAUAGUCCCGGUCCGUAAGGGGCUUUAGUCCCGGUUCACCAACCGGGACCAAAGAGACGGGACUAAAGGCCUAACCUUUAGUCCCGAUCCUGUUCCAAACCGGGACCAAAGGUGCUUCACAUGGGCGCCUCGGAGGGAGUACCUUUAGUCUUGGUUCUACUUACGAACCGGGACUAAAGGAUCCGUCUGUUUAUUUUGUUUGUUUGACACAAAAAGGUAGUUUUGUAAAAAAAAUCAAAUUUUAUUUUUGAAUAUUUUUUAUGUUUUAUUCCAAGAUCACCCAUCUUUUCACUGCUUCAGCCCGAGCACGCUUAACUUUCUGGUUCUAUCGCCCCUAGUUGUCAAGUGUGCACUUGUUGUUUUCCUCACAAUAGUAAGCUAUCAAUCCUAAACAACUUGGGUCUUGAUGUCAUGUCACAUGAUUUAAUUUUUUGAAUUACAAACAAUUAUUAAAAUAAACUUAAUAAGUAACAAUAAUAGUGAAUUUCAAUGAAAACAACCUAAUAUUUUUAAAUAAUUUUUUUUCUUUCUUUUGAAAAAAACUUCUUUUUGAAAAAACUUUUUUUCCAUUUGGAAUUUUGAGCAUGUGAGAAAACUUCAUCGGGCUAGCCCGGGUGAAAUCGAGUACCAAUUUUUUCUAGUUUUUUUUCAUAUAUUAAUUUUUUUGGACGUCGUAUGCAAAAGUUAUGUCCGUUUAUUUUUUUUCCUUUUUUUGCAAAAACGGUCAAAAUUUAUAUCUCAAAAUUUCUAUACUGACUAGACACUAAAACCUAACAACAUCUCAAAGGAUUUUAUUUUUUGAAGGUUUCAUCAUUUUUGUUUAUUUUUUAAAGAAUUUAUCAUUUUUGUUUAUUUUCUACAAAACUCAAAGUAUCAAGGUUUCAGACGAAAACCCAUCUGCUACAAAGGCAUUUUUUUAAAAUUAAUUGAACUGUAGAUUUUUUGUGUGCAUUAAACAUGCACAAUACUACAACAUGUUACAAUCUACAGAAAGAACUAACUAAAAAUAAUAAAAAACAACAAUUAAAUGACUAAAACAACUAUAUAAGCAAAACAAUAUUUCUUUAAUUAAAAUCCUAAUUUAAAUUAUUCUAAAAAUAACCAAAUAAAUCUUACUGUGACAACAAUCUAACACAUGAGUGGGAGCAAAAAGAAUUAAAUUAAAAACUAUUUGUAAACUCAAGUUAUUCAAAAACUGGGUUUGAAGCAAAUUUAAACAAAUUCAAAUUUAAACCAUUCAAAUUUGAAAACUAAUGGCACAAACAGAAACUAGACAAAAUUUUGAAUCUAACGCAAAAAGAAUCAAUCAAAAACAUCAAAUAUCUUAAAAGAUAUAAGCAAUUUAAAACAGAAACUACAAACAAGAAUUUAAAAACAGAAAAAAAAUCUGAACACCUUUAGUCCCGGUUCGUGUCACGAACCGGGACUAAAGGUCUACCCUUUAGUCCCGUUCAAGACACGAACCAGGACUAAAGCCUCCAAACCCUUUAGUCCCAGUUCAAGACACGAACCGGGACUAAAGGUCCCAUUUGAACCGGGAAUAAUACCCGACCGGCGCCUUUGCCGCUCAAACCGGGACUAAUACUAACAUUAGUCCCGGUUCAUAAAGGAACCGGGACUAAUGUGUUUUUCGAGCUGGGACGAAAGCCCUUAUUUCUUCUAGUGCACACGGAUCGCAUCCUUGUUUAAUUGUAUAUUUUUUUUCAGAUUUUUUUGCACUAAAUUUGUUUGAGUUUCGAAUUUUCCAAAAGUUUCGGCCUCCAUGGCUCCCGGGAGCCAAAUCGUCCAUUCUCCACCGUAUGCAUUUACAAACUCUAGGGCUAAUAUUAUACAGAGUGAAGGUUCUUGUGUGCUUCCGUAUGCAUUCAGCAUCGCUGAUAAUGAACUGGACUAGGCACACUCUUUGUAAGCCAAAAGGCUAUGACUCAACCAAACCUUACCUACAUACCACUUGUCUUGGCAACACACAAGAACUGUGUCACCGCGACGAGCAUGCCCUCGUCUUCCUCUCGCCACUCCUCAUCAAAACCCCUCGUCUCUACAAAUUCACAAAAAGCCGCAGCCUUCCAACUCACCACCACCUCCACCUCCACCGCCCACCAAGCCUCUCACAACCAGCAGCGCAGCAUGGGUGACGCAGCUAUCGCCGUCAUGGAGGAGGAGGGGGAGGCAUCUUUCGGAGCAGGUUCCCGCCGGUGGCCGUGCCGGAUGCCGUCACCGUGCCGGAAUUCGUGCUGGCGGGCGCAGAGGCGUACGCCGACAAGAUCGCCCUUGUGGAGGCCGCGCCUGGCGGCCGGUCCUACACCUACGGCGAGGUGGCCCGGGACGUCGCGCGGUUCGCCAGGGCUUUGCGAUCCGUG